rnacentral:rRNA from 1 species
UACGUACCGGACAAACGUUAUUCGGAAUUACUGGGCUUAAAGAGUGCGUAGGCGGCUUUGAAGGUGGGGUGUGAAAGCCCACGGCUCAACCGUGGAAUUGCGCUCCAAACCGCAAGGCUUGAGGAAGACAGAGGUGAGCGGAACUGAUGGUGGAGCGGUGAAAUGCGUUGAUAUCAUCAGGAACACCCGUGGCGAAGGCGGCUCACUGGGUCUUAUCUGACGCUGAGGCA